GGACUGCCUUUUGCAUAAUGAGCCUGCGAGUUGUGGUGUCUGGCAAGGUUAAGCAAACGCGAAGCCGUAGCGAAAGCGAGUCUGAAUAGGGCGCUUAGUCAGAUGCUGCAGACCCGAAACGAAGUGAUCUAUCCAUGAGCAAGUUGAAGCUAGUGUAAGAACUAGUGGAGGACUGAACCCAUAGGCGUUGAAAAGCCCCGGGAUGACUUGUGGAUAGGGGUGAAAGGCCAAUCAAACUUCGUGAUAGCUGGUUCUCUCCGAAAUAUAUUUAGGUAUAGCGUUGUGUCGUAAUAUAAGGGGGUAGAGCACUGAAUGGGCUAGGGCAUACACCAAUGUACCAAACCCUAUCAAACUCCGAAUACCUUAUAUGUAAUCACAGCAGUCAGGCGGCGAGUGAUAAAAUCCGUCGUCAAGAGGGAAACAACCCAGACUACCAGCUAAGGUCCCUAAAUCUUACUUAAGUGGAAAACGAUGUGAAGUUACUUAAACAACCAGGAGGUUGGCUUAGAAGCAGCCAUCCUUUAAAGAAAGCGUAAUAGCUCACUGGUCUAGUGAUUUUGCGCGGAAAAUAUAACGGGGCUAAAGUAAGUACCGAAGCUGUAGACUUGCGCACAACUUAGAUUAUUUAAGUUUAGAAUAUGAGAAACUAAGUUAUAUGUUUAGUUAUAUUUUUACUGAUUUUUAUAGAGUAAAGAUAGAAAUAAAACUUAGUAAAAUCAGUAAAAAUAUUCUUAGACUAAAGUUAAGUAGUUUAAGUUGUGUGCAAGUGGUAGGAGAGCGUUCUAUUUGCGUCGAAGGUAUACCGGUAAGGAGUGCUGGAGCGAAUAGAAGUGAGCAUGCAGGCAUGAGUAGCGAUAAUUAAUGUGAGAAUCAUUAACGCCGUAAACCCAAGGUUUCCUACGCGAUGCUCGUCAUCGUAGGGUUAGUCGGGUCCUAAGUCGAGUCCGAAAGGGGUAGACGAUGGCAAAUUGGUUAAUAUUCCAAUACCAACAUUAGUGUGCGAUGGAAGGACGCUUAGGGCUAAGGGGGCUAGCGGAUGGAAGUGCUAGUCUAAGGUCGUAGGAGGUUAUACAGGCAAAUCCGUAUAACAAUACUCCGAGAACUGAAAGGCUUUUUGAAGUCUUCGGAUGGAUAGAAGAACCCCUGAUGCCGUCGAGCCAAGAAAAGUUUCUAAGUUUAGCUAAUGUUGCCCGUACCGUAAACCGACACAGGUGGGUGGGAUGAGUAUUCUAAGGCGCGUGGAAGAACUCUCUUUAAGGAACUCUGCAAAAUAGCACCGUAUCUUCGGUAUAAGGUGUGGUUCGCUUCGUAUUAGGAUUUACUCCGAAAGCGAAGAAACUUACAACAAAGAGUCCCUCCCGACUGUUUACCAAAAACACAGCACUCUGCUAACUCGUAAGAGGAUGUAUAGGGUGUGACGCCUGCCCGGUGCUCGAAGGUUAAUUGAUGGGGUUAGCAUUAGCGAAGCUCUUGAUCGAAGCCCGAGUAAACGGCGGCCGUAACUAUAACGGUCCUAAGGUAGCGAAAUUCCUUGUCGGUUAAAUACCGACCUGCAUGAAUGGCGUAACGAGAUGGGAGCUGUCUCAAAGAGGGAUCCAGUGAAAUUGUAGUGGAGGUGAAAAUUCCUCCUACCCGCGGCAAGACGGAAAGACCCCGUGGACCUUUACUACAGCUUGACACUGCUAUUUGGAUAAGAAUGUGCAGGAUAGGUGGGAGGCUUUGAGUAUAUGACGCCAGUUGUAUAUGAGCCAUUGUUGAGAUACCACUCUUUCUUAUUUGGGUAGCUAACCAGCUUGAGUUAUCCUCAAGUGGGACAAUGUCUGGUGGGUAGUUUGACUGGGGCGGUCGCCUCCCAAAUAAUAACGGAGGCUUACAAAGGUUGGCUCAGAACGGUUGGAAAUCGUUCGUAGAGUAUAAAGGUAUAAGCCAGCUUAACUGCAAGACAUACAAGUCAAGCAGAGACGAAAGUCGGUCUUAGUGAUCCGGUGGUUCUGUGUGGAAGGGCCAUCGCUCAAAGGAUAAAAGGUACCCCGGGGAUAACAGGCUGAUCUCCCCCAAGAGCUCACAUCGACGGGGAGGUUUGGCACCUCGAUGUCGGCUCAUCGCAUCCUGGGGCUGGAGCAGGUCCCAAGGGUAUGGCUGUUCGCCAUUUAAAGCGGUACGCGAGCUGGGUUCAGAACGUCGUGAGACAGUUCGGUCCCUAUCUGCCGUGGGCGUAAGAAGAUUGAAGAGAUUUGACCCUAGUACGAGAGGACCGGGUUGAACAAACCACUGGUGUAGCUGUUGUUCUGCCAAGAGCAUCGCAGCGUAGCUAAGUUUGGAAAGGAUAAACGCUGAAAGCAUCUAAGCGUGAAGCCAACUCUAAGAUGAAUCUUCUCUAAGCUCUCUAGAAGACUACUAGUUUGAUAGGCUGGGUGUGUAAUGGAUGAAAGUCCUUUAGCUGACCAGUACUAAUAGAGCGUUUGGCUUAUCUUUAAUAAAGCAU
rnacentral:rRNA from 1 species